UGAAAAAUAUUUUACUUGAAGAUAAAUAAAAUAAUAACAACAACAACAAUUCAACAAAAAAAAUUAAAAAAUCAAUAUAUAUACAUAUAUAAUAUAGAAUAUAAUUUGUGUUCUUAUAUUACAAUUAUGCAGCAUUUCUGGAAACUGUAUGCUUUAAUAAGUUGUGGAUCUAUACAUGCUUUGAAAUAGAUUGUACAAAGACAAAUUAUAUUAUCACAAAUUUGUAAAAUGAACUAGAAUGUAUAUAAACAUGAAAAAUUCAAUUUGAAUAACUAAAAAAAGAAGUGCAGUUCUUUGCAAAAUAACAAUUGACAUAUAUAGAUAUUAUAUAGAUAUUAUAUAUAUGUAUAUAUAUAUAUGUGUGUGUGUGUGUGUGCGUACAUAUAUCAUGAAAUGGGAUUUGCCACUCACUUAUGCUCUGCACCUAACCAACGUCCAUGUGGCCUUGCCUGCCUGCCUCCCAACCACAACACUGCCGCUCUUCCCAUUCCUCCUCAUCUUCACUGCAAACUCUAUUCAUGUGCCAAAUCAUUCAUCAUCUGUGCAUCUGGUGAGCUCAUCAUCAAAUAAUGUUGCAGAAAAUGGCCAUUUCCUGGAUUUGGUGAUUUGGUGAUUUGGUCAAGUGGAAAAGUUUAUGUAGGUCAUUUGCUCUUGCUGACUUGGGGAGUGUCGGAUCUUCAUUUUAUUCAGUAUCACAAAAAAUUUAGAAAACUCAAUUUUAUAAUAACAACUGUGUUUACAAUAAGAAGUUCACAAUGCUUGUCUGAUAAGAUUUAAUCACAGACUUUAUAAGUUUUAUAGCUACUACAAAAUAAUGUUGGAAGUUGCCGUUAUAUUUAGCAAUAUUAUUAAUAUUUAAACAUUAUAUACUGAAUCUAUAUCUAUAAAAUGAGUAAUGAGUCCCAAAGAUGUCUUUAAAUAAAAUUUUAAUUAUUAUGAAUUUUCUAAUAAUUUAAUUUUAAAAUUUUAUUACAGAUAUUAUUAAUAGGAAAUUAUUUUUAUAGUGAUUAAUAUGAAAAAAUCUAUGUAUUAAUGAAUAAGAAACUUUCAACCUCAGACUAAAAACCGUUGUCUUUCUUUUUUUGGUGAAUAAAUUACAAAAUAAAUUCAAUCUUUCUUUCAUUAUUAUACACAAAACAUUAAUGUGUAUGCAAAAUUGACACUAAAUACAUUUGAUAAGUAAUCUGUGUCAAAUAUCGUUUUAAAAAUGUGAUGAAAUUUUUCUAUGGCAUUAUUAUUAUUAUUAUUAUUAUUAUUAUUUUGUGGAUUGAAAAUUCCAUGGAAUAAAAACAAGAAAUCACGUAAAAUAGACCAUAUAUAUAUAUAUAUAUAUAUAUAUAUAUAUUUCGGCCAAAAUUAACGAGUGCCACAAGAGGUUAUCAAGUAACUCUGAAUUCUCUUUUUGCUAUCAGAAUUAUCCACAAAGACAAUUGAUAUUCAUUACAUGAGAUAAUUUUUACAAUUAUAUAUGUAAUAGUGUAUUUUGU
rnacentral:lncRNA from 1 species